rnacentral:rRNA from 1 species
GACGAACGCUGGCGGCGUGCUUAACACAUGCAAGUCGAACGGAAAGGCCCUGCUUUUGUGGGGUGCUCGAGUGGCGCACGGGUGAGUAUCACGUGAGUAACCUCCCCUUUACUUUGGGAUACCUUCAGUAAACUGGGGCUCUUACCGCAUAUGAGCUCUUUCUGCAUGGUGGUGGUUGUAAAGUUUCGCCGUUUGGGGAUGGACUAGCGGCUUAUCAGCUUGUUGGUGGGGUAGUGGAUUACCAAGGCUUCGACGGGUAGCCGGCCUGAGAGGGUGACCGGCCACAAAGGGAAUGAGAAACGGCCAAGACGGAUACGGGAGGAAGGAGUGGGAAAUAGUGCAAAAAAGGCGGAAGCCGGAAGGAGCAACGCCGCGUGCGGGAUGACGGCCUUCGGGGUGGAAACUGCUUUCGCGUGGGAAGAAGAGUGAGUGACGGUAAUGGGUAAAGAAGCAACGGCUAACUACGUG